GUACUAGGGUGGACGACAAAGGAGCCUUGGUUUCAUUUUCCACCUUGAACAUCCACUUACAGCUCACCUGAAGCAAUGAAAAGAAUAAGACCAGAAGAAUAAAGACAGGGAGGGAUGUUAUGACAUGUUUUUAACAGAUAGUAUGAAUGGGGAGGUCUGAGUAAUAGUCCCAAAGGAGAGGGACAUCAAGCAAAGACAACCAAGACAAUGGCUGUGUGGCACUAUGGCUGUGGUUGGCCACCUCAUUCAGGGUGCUUCUGAAACAGACCUUCCAUUGAUCUACCUAGAGUUAGUCUAUCCUUGUUCAUGAACACAGGGUGCUCAUCAAUACCAUAAGUAGGAAAGGGGGAAUGGUUCUCUACCAGUUUGUAAGGUGACAUUUUUUGUUGCUCUGAAGGCUUUGGUCACACUCCCAACAGGUUUUGGCUCAGCCUUGUUUUCAAAAUGAAUGGCUAAUGGGUUAGUGCCCUCUUUAUACUGUUGUGUGUCUUUCCAAACUGAGGCCCUGGGAUGUAUACUUUGUUUCAUGAGAUGAUUUGCUUUUUUGGAAAAAAAAUAAUGAUUUUUAAGCUCUUUGUAUCUUGGAUUUUUUUCCCCCUAAAAUGUUCUUAAAGAUAACAAUAGAAUCCAACUCCAGGGCUCACUUUUAUCAACAGAUAUUUAUAAAUUUAAAAUCUCCCUGUGGCAAAAUGAUUUCAAUGAAUGUUGUGCUCUCUUUCAAUUUUUCAAUUUUUCUCAUGUACGACAAAAAAGGAAAAUCCAAUCUACUUUUCUCUUUUGAUAUACGUGCCCCACUGUGAAUCCAAGGCUAGAUCCAGUCCCUCGGUUGUCUGCUUGGUUGUGAGUGGUAUUCUAGAUGAAAACUGUCCCGGUAAAAUCUCCCUUGAACAUACAGAGAGCAAACCAGGGAUGGAUGGAGAAGAACGAUGAAAAGAAUGCUGGAGUGCUCUCUUCUGCAGUCGCCUUCUCAUAUCAUCUUAGCUGAACGCACCCAAGGAUGGAUGUAAAGGCCUCUGCUGCAACCUCUGACAG
rnacentral:lncRNA from 1 species